rnacentral:rRNA from 1 species
GGAAUAUUGCGCAAUGGGCGAAAGCCUGACGACGCAACGCCGCGUGGAGGAUGAAGGUCUUCGGAUUGUAAACUCCUGUUGCUCGGGAAGAAUGGCUCCGACCUAACACGUCGGAGUAUGACGGUACCGGGUGGGGAAGCCCCGGCUAACCCUGUGCCGUCAGCCGCGGUAAUACAGAGGGGGCAAGCGUUGUUCGGGAUUACUGGGCGUAAAGGGCGCGUAGGCGGCCUGUUAAGUCGAACGUGAAAUCCCCGAGCUCAACUCGGGAACUGCGUCCGAUACUGGCAGGCUCGAAUCCGGGAGAGGGAUGUGGAAUUCCAGGUGUAGCGGUGAAAUGCGUAGAUAUCUGGAGGAACACCGGUGGCGAAGGCGGCAUCCUGGACCGGCAUUGACGCUGAGGCGCGAAAGCCAGGGGAGCAAAC